rnacentral:rRNA from 1 species
GAUGAACGCUGGCGGCGUGCCUAAUACAUGCAAGUCGAGCGAAGCGGGGAGGGGUGAGGAACACGUGGAAAAACUCCUUUACGAAUGGGUUAAAUUCGGGAAACCGGUGCUAAACCGGAUACUUGGCGAUGGAUGCGCGCUGCACUCGCUAGUGGGUACGGUAACGGCUUACCAAGGCCACGAUGCAUAGCCGACCUGAGAGGGUGAUCGGCCACACUGGAACUGAGACACGGUCCAGACUCCUACGGGAGGCAGCAGUAGGGAAUCUUCCGCAAUGGGCGAAAGCCUGACGGAGCAACGCCGCGUGAGUGAUGAAGGUCUUCGGAUCGUAAAACUCUGUUAUUAGGGAAGCGGUACCUAAUCAGAAAGCCACGGCUAACUACGUGCCAGCAGCCGCGGUAAUUC